GACGAACGCUGGCGGCGUGCCUAAUACGUGCAAGUCGAGCGGAAGUUGGAGAGCUUGCUCUUCAACUUUAGCGGCGGACGGGUGAGUAACACGUGGGCAACCUGCCCUGCAGAUCGGGAUAACUCCGGGAAACCGGUGCUAAUACCGAAUAGUUUUCGCCACCUCCUGGUGGCGUACGGAAAGACGGUUUCGGCUGUCACUGCAGGAUGGGCCCGCGGCGCAUUAGCUAGUUGGGGGGGUAACGGCCCACCAAGGCGACGAUGCGUAGCCGACCUGAGAGGGUGAUCGGCCACACUGGGACUGAGGCACGGCCCAGACUCCUACGGGAGGCAGCAGUAGGGAAUCUUCCGCAAUGGACGAAAGUCUGACGGAGCAACGCCGCGUGAGUGACGAAGGUUUUCGGAUCGUAAAACUCUGUUGUGAGGGAAGAACAAGUACCAACUAACUACUGGUACCUUGACGGUACCUCACCAGAAAGCCACGGCUAACUACGUGCCAGCCGCCGCCGUAA
rnacentral:rRNA from 1 species